CCAGGCGACACCUCAAAUUUUUGUCGACGCUUCUGCCACCUUCGAGCAACCAUCGAACUCGGACGACGCCUCGAAGAGCAGCGCCCGCCGACACGGUGUGAAGUGUUGGAACUAAUUAUCGACGAUGAUAUUCAGCUGCCAUAAGCGGAGAUGAACCGGCCGGAUCAACUUGGACGAGUACGGUAGACGUGUAAAAUGGCGAUAUCGUGGUUGUAAUAGGUUCACUAUUUGAGGUAGCACAGGUAUAUUAGAUAACAUUUAUUAUAAUGAAUCGAAAUAUUUUAUGAAACGAAUAAUUCAUAUUCAAAAUCACGGUACAGUUUAUCUUUAGUUUUCUGACCCGUUGUACUCGUCGGCAAAGAAAGAGAGACGGUGAGCGAAUAUUAGGUCAAUCUAUCGUUCCACGUGAUAUUUGUUUGGAUAAAAUAAAAAAUAAACAUAAACGAAUCAUGGUAUGUACAAUAUUAUAUGAUGUAACGGUAUUGGAAGCAGAAUAAUAGCUUAGAAAGAUAUUCACCAAACUUUCACAUCGUUCCAUUGGAGCUGGUUAUCUG